AUUGAACGCUGGCGGCGUGCCUAACACAUGCAAGUCGAGCGGUAACAGGUGUAGCAAUACAUGCUGACGAGCGGCGAACGGGUGAGUAAUGCUUCGGAAUCUACCCAAUGGUGGGGAAUAACCAGCCGAAAGGUUGGCUAAUACCGCAUACGUCCCACGGGAGAAAGCAGGGGAUCGCAAGACCUUGCGCCAAUGGAUGAGCCGAAGUCGGAUUAGCUAGUUGGAGGGUAACGGCCUACCAAGGCGACGAUCCGUAGCUGGUCUGAGAGGACGACCAGCCACACUGGGACUGAGACACGGCCCAGACUCCUACGGGAGGCAGCAGUGGGGAAUAUUGGACAAUGGGGGAAACCCGUGAUCCAGCGACGCCGCGUGUGUGAAGAAGGCC
rnacentral:rRNA from 1 species